AGUGAACGCUGGCGGCAGGCCUAAUACAUGCAAGUCGAACGGCAGCACAGCAGAGCUUGCUCUGUGGGUGGCGAGUGGCGGACGGGUGAGGAAUACAUGGGAAUCUGCCCAGUCGUGGGGGAUAACGUAUGGAAACGUACGCUAAUACCGCAUGCGCCCUAAGGGGGAAAGCCGGGGACCGCAAGGCCUGGCGCGAUUGGAUGAGCCCAUGUUCGAUUAGCUAGUUGGCGGGGUAAAGGCCCACCAAGGCGACGAUCGAUAGCUGGUCUGAGAGGAUGAUCAGCCACACUGGAACUGAGACACGGUCCAGACUCCUACGGGAGGCAGCAGUAGGGAAUAUUGGACAAUGGGCGCAAGCCUGAUCCAGCCAUGCCGCGUGAGUGAAGAAGGCCCUCGGGUUGUAAAGCUCUUUUGUUGGGGAAGAAAAGCAUCUGGUUAAUACCCGGGUGUUCUGACGGUACCCAAAGAAUAAGCACCGGCUAACUUCGUGCC
rnacentral:rRNA from 1 species